GCUUACGACCACACCGGCCUGAUCUCGUCUGAUCUCGGAAGCUAAGCAGGGUCGGGCCUGGUUAGUACUUGGAUGGGAGACUUCCUGGGAAUACCAGGUGCUGUAAGCU
ensembl:rRNA 5S_rRNA 5S ribosomal RNA